rnacentral:rRNA from 1 species
AUUGAACGCUGGCGGCAGGCCUAACACAUGCAAGUCGAGCGGAUGAGAGGAGCUUGCUCCUUGAUUUAGCGGCGGACGGGUGAGUAAUGCCUAGGAAUCUGCCUGGUAGUGGGGGAUAACGUCCGGAAACGGGCGCUAAUACCGCAUACGUCCUACGGGAGAAAGCAGGGGACCUUCGGGCCUUGCGCUAUCAGAUGAGCCUAGGUCGGAUUAGCUAGUUGGUGAGGUAAUGGCUCACCAAGGCGACGAUCCGUAACUGGUCUGAGAGGAUGAUCAGUCACACUGGAACUGAGACACGGUCCAGACUCCUACGGGAGGCAGCAGUGGGGAAUAUUGGACAAUGGGCGAAAGCCUGAUCCAGCCAUGCCGCGUGUGUGAAGAAGGUCUUCGGAUUGUAAAGCACUUUAAGUUGGGAGGAAGGGCAGUAAGCUAAUACCUUGCUGUUUUGACGUUACCGACAGAAUAAGCACCGGCUAACUUCGUGCCAGCCGCCGCUGUAACAC